CCAAUAGCGUAUAUUAAAGUUGUUGCAGUUAAAAAGCUCGUAGUUGAAUUUCGGGAUCAAUUUGCUGGUCGUGCCUUCGGUACGCACUGGUAUUAUUGGUUUCUCCUUUCUGAUGAAUCGCGAUGUCAUUAAUUUGGUGUCGUGGGGAAUCAGGACUGUUACUUUGAAAAAAUUAGAGUGUUUAAAGCAGGCUCACGCUUGAAUACAUUAGCAUGGAAUAAUGAAAUAGGACGUUUGAUUCUAUUUUGUUGGUUUCUAGGAUCGACGUAAUGAUUAAUAGGGAUAGUUAGGGGCAUUAGUAUUCAAUUGUCAGAGGUGAAAUUCUUGGAUUUAUUGAAGACUAACUACUGCGAAAGCAUUUGCCAAGGAUGUUUUCAUUAAUCAAGAACGAAAGUUAGGGGAUCGAAGACGAUCAGAUACCGUCGUAGUCUUAACCAUAAACUAUGCCGACUAGGGAUCGGAUGAUGUUAAUUUUUUAAUGACUCAUUCGGCGCCUUACG
rnacentral:rRNA from 1 species